rnacentral:rRNA from 1 species
ACUACGGGUGGCAGCAGGGAGGAAUAUUGGUCAAUGGACGAGAGUCUGAACCAGCCAAGUAGCGUGAAGGAUGACUGCCCUAUGGGUUGUAAACUUCUUUUAUAUGGGAAUAAAAUGUUCCACGUGUGGGAUUUUGUAUGUACCAUCUGAAUCAGGAUCGGCUAACUCCGUGCCAGCAGCCGAGGUAAUACGGAGGGUCCGAGCGUUAUCCGGAUUUAUUGGGUUUAACGGGAGCGUAGGUGGAAUGUUAAGUUAGUUGUGAAAGUUGGAGGGUCAACCGUAAAAUUGAAGUGGAGACUGGCAGUCUGGAGAGCAGGAGAGGUGGGCGGAAUUCGUGGUGUAGCGGUGAAAUGCUUAGAUAUCAAGAAGAACUCCGAUUGCGAAGGCAGCUCACUGGAAUGCAACUGACACUGAGGCUCGAAAGUGUGGGUAUCAAACAGGAUUAGAUACCCUUGUAGUC